rnacentral:lncRNA from 1 species
CUCUUCCUGUAUUCUGUCCUUCUCACUUCGGUUCUUUCUGUAUCAAAGGAAGCAGUAUUUUCAUUCAUUGGAGGCUAUAGUCUACCUACUCUUUUUGAGAGGAAAGACCCCCACCCCCAUUUCUCAUGUAGUGAUGUGUGGGACAGAAAGUCACAGACCUAUCCAUGGGGUGCUGGGGGAUCUCCACUUGCAGAUGAGAAACAACUUGUCAGAGUAGCAACAGAGCCUCUGAUCCCCAGAGGGAGCAUUGGGUCCCAGGCGUAUUCAGACAGGCCAUAUUCCUGACAAUCAGGCUCCACAGAUGACUUCACAACCUGAGGGCGGUGUGAUCACAAUGAGCCCAGCCGUCCUCCCAUUCUUCCUUCCACCAGCUUCUACUGCUUGAGGGUCUCUGAUACUGAAGUCAUUGCAUUGCUCAUCCAGUCCUGUGCUGAAACCAGAGAACAGAACCACAUCAAAC